rnacentral:rRNA from 1 species
UACAGAGGGUGCAAGCGUUGUUCGGAAUCAUUGGGCGUAAAGGGUGCGUAGGUGGGUUGGUAAGUCAGUGGUGAAAUCCCCGAGCUUAACUUGGGAACCGCCAUUGAUACUAUCAGUCUUGAAUACCGUGGAGGUCAGCGGAAUAUGUCAUGUAGCGGUGAAAUGCUUAGAUAUGACAUAGAACACCAAUUGCGAAGGCAGCUGGCUACACGAGUAUUGACACUGAGGCACGAAAGCGUGGGGAUCAAACAGG